UAUUCAAAGUCAGCACUGCUGCUAUAUUGAACCGCGUGAUGCAGGUGAGACGGCCAGAGGCAUUCCACUUGUUACUUUGUAAAUCUUUCUCAAUUCAGCCACUGGCUGCGAUGAAAUGAUAAUAAACCUUCAAUAUGAAAUCUGGUGAUUAAAUAUUACAUUCAGUAAAGUUUUGUUUUUCUAGGCUCGCCGAACAUUUUUGUGGUAUUGUUUACAUUCAAUAUUCAGCAUGAUAGAGUGCAUAUUUUGGUGGGGUUCACUAACUAUUGAGCACAACUAUACAUGACUUGGCAUAUUAUACACUUAGUGUUUUGAAGAACAUAAUUUUCAUUUCUCACUCAGUAUUGCUUCAUGCAAAAAUCAUGUAGUAGUAUGCUGCUUGGCCAAAACUUAUACAUGUACAUGUAUUGUCAUCCAAUAUCCAAGAUUGAAGAUUUCAUUCAUUUUUUAGCUCAUCAGCCCUGAAGGGCCUUAUGCCGUGUUCGAUUUUGUUGCGAGAUGCCGGAUGAGCUCCACAUCAUUGAUGUGCUUGACUGCUAGUGCUAGUUUAAUUGUACAAUGUAGGGACUGAAAUUGCUUCAAAAAUGUUUUGCUGUUUAGGGAUUCACAAUUAAUGCUUAUAUUUAGAAAGAGAAAAGUAAUUUUGUAUAUACUGAAUAGAGUCUUGUAUUUUAUUUUUACUGCAAUGUCAUAUUAAUAGCUUCAUAUUAGAUGCACAAUUUUACAUUUAUGUGUUACUGAAAUGCUGAAUUUUUGGACAAAAAAUUAAAAUUCAUGGACAUUUUAAAAACAUUUUUGAUAGUGAUAUAUUAAUUACACAUUUUGUGCAAAACUUUACACUAAAGUUUGAGACUGGUAUCAUGGAAAACUCAAGAUUAACUGGCUAAUUAUAAAAGGAAAGCCUAAAGUUUUCCUGCAUUUACUGGUGUACUUACAUGAAUUUUGUCUGCAAUAGGAAACAUAGAUGAUGGAGAGGAAAAAUAGAUAAUGGAGUAGAAAUGGUUUCAUCUGUAGCGAUUGUAGAUCUGUAUCAAUGCCAUAGUCUUAGCAUUUGCCCAAGUAAUUUUGAGCUAUAAUUACAGUGCAUGUUGAUGAGAUUGAUUUUGCGAAUGAACUUCUCUGAGUAUCUGUUACUCUGCUGUUAAUCUUGGUACUUGGUAUGACGUUCCUCCAAAAUACUCCAAGAAGAGUUUUAACUGGAGGUGUGCCGUAGAGUGUGGUCUAGUUUUUGUGAAUAAUUGGGUCUUUAGUAAGGGCAUUUUUGGCUGUUCUACAGUUUCUGGCAGAAGGCCAUUCCAUUGGUUAAUAGUUCGGAUGAAGAAGGAAUUGGCAAAUGAGUCUGAGUUCGUGUACCGCUUUUGGAAUUGUCGAGUGUGUCCUCUUCUGCCUCUUGAUGGCUUGAGCUUGAUGAAGUUUUCAUAAUCUAUGUCCAGUUCGCCUUUCAGGAUUUUGUAGAGGCAAGUAAGGCAAUGAAACUUCUUUCAUGGAGUGGGGCCCACUCUAAGUCCUUAAGAAUGGCACUGAUGCUAGUGUCACGUCCGUACGUGUUAGAGACAAAUCUAGCCGCUCUGUUUUGGACUCUCUAUACUAUCUAUAUUCUUCUUUGUGUAGGUAAAGAGAUUUGACUUUGUGGAUGAGUUUCCAGACUGAACAAGAACAUCAAAAUGAUAAUCCAUGAAUGAAGGUCCUUUUCAAGAUGAUUGCCUACAGCAUGCCACAUUCUAGACAGCGGUCAGCCGUCUGUUUUAAGGAAUUUUUUUUUGGUCUCCUUGUACACGGCUUCUCCUCGUACACGGCUCGCCAGUGGCGGACCGUGACCCCGAGGAGACAAAGCAUGGGGGGGGCACAGCAUUUUUCACAAACAAUGCAGUGCCCCCUAAUGCUUUGUGUCCUCCGGGUCACGGUCCGCUACUGCGGCUCGCUAUCGUGCAGCCACCAUUAGGUGACUUACAAUGCAAAAUCCCCCCGUCGGAGCUCUUCAAUUUUUGUCUUUACUGAAUCAAACUUUUGAAAAUUAACACAACCGAAAUGCAAAUUAAUAUUCCCUCUUGGCAUUAAUUGCCAAAAAAUGGGAAAAAAUCAAGUUAAAAGGAACAAAAACAUUAACUUACCUCAGCUGUUGCGCAAAUUCACUUUCUGUUUUAUCCGAACUUAUAAUACAUAAACAUAUGGCCAUCGAGUCCCCUGUACAGAUCGUGCUAGAAGUUCAAUCUCUGUAUUUGGUGAGUGAAGCCAACAGAGUUCAGCUGAACAACCAACAUAACAGAGACCAAAGCUUUUGGUCUAGCCACAGUCAUACUCCUCUAUUUUAUCUUAUAAACCAGGAGUUGGUUUUGUGAAAGACUCACUAAGAAUGUGGACAUCACACUGAUGUUUGCCAAUUCUGUAACACAGUUCUGUCAUGACUUAUAAUGAUUUUGAACGUAACGUUUUUGAACAAUUUCAUAAUGGAAAGUAAAUAGAAAAUCAUAUUCAGGAACUACAAGUGUACCUAGUUGACAACAUACUGUAUGAAAUGGUAGCCUGUUACACAACGGUUUAUUAUCAAUUUCUAAAUUGCAGUGGGCAAUCAAAAGUUAUUGCAUGUGCAUAUUGUAAAACAUACAAGCUUUCACCCAAUCAGAAUCAGCGUUUGAAAUUUGCUGUUAAUUGCAAAUCUGUGUGUAGUGUGGCCCAUGUGUGUAUUGAAUGUAAUAGUUCACUGCAUAUGUAGGUUAUGUUAUGUCUUUAGCCAGUGUGAUUAAGCAGCUCAGGAUUUGUGGUUGAUAUAUCGGUCAUAAACAAAAUUCUUUUAAAAUCUUAAACAAUCUAGUUUAGAUCUUGGUCAUGUUUAACAGUUAAUCUUUCCGACUUUGGAAGUAGUGGAGGCAGCGAUUGUGUCUGUGUGCAGUUUUGGACCUUUCUAUGUAUUAAUCUUGCUUUCAAACUGUAUUACAUGAGGAUGAGUGUAUUAUAUGUAUUAAAAUGAUUAAAAGAGUUGUCCAUAUACACAGAGUUAAAUCUAAUAACACAAUUAUUCACUCUUGUUAUGUUUUGUUCGAGCUUAAUGUGUAUUAUGAUGUUUCAAUAUUAAUUUUAAAAAUGUUAAUGCUUUAGAUUUCAGUGAUUUUAAGUUUGCUUUUAGAUUCUUUGAAAUCAGUUCCUUAUGUGUAUGUGUCAACCUUGUCCAUGGAGCUUGUUACUAAUUUUGAAAUUUCUGGCACAUUUCAGAUUGACAGCUUACAUGCCACAUGUAGUGAUGUAUAUAAAAGCUCUGUUAAAAAAAUCACAUAAAAUGUCUAAAAUAUGCUCCAAGGGUAUGUAAUAAAUGCCAAUCUGUUGAA